rnacentral:tRNA from 1 species
GGAAGGGUGGCUGAGUGGUUUAAAGCGCUGGUCUUGAAAACCAGUGGGGAGCUUGUCUUCCUCGUGGGUUCGAAUCCCACCCCUUCCGCCA